CCUACGGGUGGCAGCAGUGAGGAAUAUUGGUCAAUGGACGGAAGUCUGAACCAGCCAUGUCGCGUGCAGGAAGACUGCUCUAUGAGUUGUAAACUGCUUUUGUACAAGGGUAAACCUGAAUACGUGUAUUCAGCUGUAAGUACUAUACGAAUAAGGAUCGGCUAACUCCGUGCCAGCAGCCGCGGUAAUACGGAGGAUCCCAGCGUUAUCCGGAUUUAUUGGGUUUAAAGGGUGCGUAGGUGGAUUGAUAAGUUAGAGGUGAAAUGUCCGGGCUUAACUCGGGAAAUGCCGUUGAUACUGGUGGUCUAGAGAGUAGGAGCGGUAGGCGGAAUGCGUGGUGUAGCGGUGAAAUGCUUAGAGAUCAUACAGAACACCGAUUGCGAAGGCAGCUUACCAGUCUAUAACUGACGUUGAGGCACGAAAGCGUGGGGAGCAAACAGGAUUAGAUACCCCUGUAGUC
rnacentral:rRNA from 1 species